rnacentral:misc_RNA from 1 species
AACCUAGCACACCUGCGGUGUGUACCUGCGGAGGGAUCAUUAACCUUUCAAAUCAGGGUGCGGCGCGGCCCCCGAGGAGCGGAAACAAUCCUUGGGAGGUAUGCGGGGGCUUCGAGCCCCCCAUUUACGCACGCACGACUGCCAUCCCUACUUUACGAGCACCUUCUGUUCUCCCUCGGCGGGGCAACCUGCCGUUGGAACCGAAUAAACUCUUUUUGCAUCUAGCAUUACCUGUUCCGA